rnacentral:rRNA from 1 species
GAGUUUGAUCCUGGCUCAGGAUGAACGCUAGCGGCAGGCUUAACACAUGCAAGUCGAGGGAUAACAGAGAAAAGCUUGCUUUUUUGCUGACGACCGGCGCACGGGUGCGUAACGCGUAUGCAAUCUACCUUUUGCUAAGGGAUAGCCCAGAGAAAUUUGGAUUAAUACCUUAUAGUAUGACGACUUGGCAUCAAGAUAUCAUUAAAGGUUACGGCAAAAGAUGAGCAUGCGUUCUAUUAGCUAGUUGGUGUGGUAACGGCAUACCAAGGCAACGAUAGAUAGGGGUCCUGAGAGGGAGAUCCCCCACACUGGUACUGAGACACGGACCAGACUCCUACGGGAGGCAGCAGUGAGGAAUAUUGGACAAUGGAGGCAACUCUGAUCCAGCCAUGCCGCGUGCAGGAAGACUGCCCUAUGGGUUGUAAACUGCUUUUAUACAGGAAGAAACACCUCUACGUGUAGAGAUUUGACGGUACUGUAAGAAUAAGGAUCGGCUAACUCCGUGCCAGCAGCCGCGGUAAUACGGAGGAUCCAAGCGUUAUCCGGAAUCAUUGGGUUUAAAGGGUCCGUAGGUGGAUAAUUAAGUCAGAGGUGAAAUCCUGCAGCUUAACUGUAGAAUUGCCUUUGAUACUGGUUGUCUUGAGUUGUUAUGAAGUGGUUAGAAUAUGUAGUGUAGCGGUGAAAUGCAUAGAUAUUACAUAGAAUACCAAUUGCGAAGGCAGAUCACUAAUAAUAUACUGACACUGAUGGACGAAAGCGUGGGGAGCGAACAGGAUUAGAUACCCCGGUAGUCCACGCCGUAAACGAUGGUCACUAGCUGUUCGGGUUUCGAUCUGAGUGGCUAAGCGAAAGUGAUAAGUGACCCACCUGGGGAGUACGUUCGCAAGAAUGAAACUCAAAGGAAUUGACGGGGGCCCGCACAAGCGGUGGAGCAUGUGGUUUAAUUCGAUGAUACGCGAGGAACCUUACCAGGGCUUAAAUGUGGUUUGACAGCUUUAGAGAUAGAGUUUUCUUCGGACAAAUCACAAGGUGCUGCAUGGUUGUCGUCAGCUCGUGCCGUGAGGUGUCAGGUUAAGUCCUA